ensembl:lncRNA
GAGCUGGUUGCAGAUCAAGCAUCCUCCUCCGUAUUGACAUCGCUGUCCCCAACUUCAUCCCAUUCAUCCUUGGUAGUGGCACAGACUGCACUAUCCCCAGCUUUAUCCCAUUCAUCUGAUUCCACCGUUAUUCUGGAGUCCACAAGAAAAAGGAGGAACCCAACAGGGUUAAUGGACCAGAAUGAAGCAAAACAGAUGGUUGAGGGUGUUCUGAGGGCCAAUCCAAAGGGUGAAGAAGUCUUCAAUGAGUAUGAUAAGACUAAAACACUAACUGAUGCAACCCGUAAACAAAUGGUGAACAUCCUGGUUGCAGAUAUGAUAGAGCUACAUGGGAGGGUUCCACCGUCAAGUGUAAGGACCAAUUGUGCACUGGGAAUUGUGACUCUUUUUCCAUACCUCCGUGAUUCAUUCUCCAAACUUGGAUAUGAACACUACUAUGAUCCUGAGGGUAAUACUGGCUUAAUUU